GACAAAAGUGUAUUUUCUCGACAGUAGAUGAAGAGAUCCAAGAACUGAACAGAAACACUUUCACUUAUACCAUGAUCCAUUUUUUAUGUUCUGCAUAAAGCCCCGCCCCCAAACAGUCAUUGUCCAAUCAUACAUCCUAGCAACCGUUACUACGUCUACUACUACUACUAGGUCCGUCAAGUUGUCGACCUCCAACAAGCUAAAUGUUUGCAGUGGGGCAGCGGAGCCUUGAGUGGAUCAAACGGUGUGGAAGGACCCACUCCAGCUAAAUCUCCAGGAAAUAAACAAACAUACGUCUGGUCCAAGGAGAUGUCCUUGUGCCAUCCAGACAUGACUCAUUGGGAGCGAUGCUCAACGCUGCAUGGGAAACCAUUCAAAUCCCAGAAGGUCCUGACUGGAAUCCGAAACCGUCUUCGUGUCCUCACCACCCUCGUCUCAGGAUGUGAAAGAUAUCAGAGCGCGAGCACCAGAUUUGAAUUACAGAUGGGAUUUGCAGGAUCGGCAGCAGAAAACUGCUCUUCUCCAGGUUUCCAUAAACCAGUCGAUAAGGUAAGGACGUUCAUAAUUUAAAAGGUGUUUAGAGAUUCCUCCAGGGGAGCUGGUUGGUAGGUAAACGCCAUUAAAAUAACUAUUCAAUAUAAGUACUUGCUAAUUUGUGACAGCACAUCUUAGUAAGAUCACUGAGCUUUCAGAAUAACAGAUGAGUUGGCUGUUAUAAUGUUGGAAUAUACUAAGAGUCAUUAGCAGGUUGGAGAAUUAUGCAUUCAGGCAGGAAUGCAUGAAGACCGGGUGUUUAACUCCAGUACCAUGGCUUUAAGUUUGGGUACUGACAUAAAAACUGGCAUUACUUGAAAAUGGGAACUAGGGCAAGGACAUUCUCUCCACGGACUGAAAACUACAUGAAGAUUAAAGUCACAAUAGAAAAGAAGAAGAAAGGCAUCAAAUAAAUGCAGCGAUUUUCCCAAUUUGUCUAUUCAUGCCAUGGUUACAAUGAUUUCCUCUCCUGGGAGUUGAUAAGAGAGGCCAGACUGAGAACAAAUGGGGGGGGUUUGAGUCGAGUUUUAACCCACGGGGGUGGUUGGCCAACAGAGAUAACUCCAUAAUAGUCUGAGAGGUCACAAAGGAACACAGGGGGACUUCCAACAGCAGCUUGAUCAACAUUAUGUGGACAAGCCACAAGACUAUUGGGCCAAUGUUUUGUGGACAGAUGAGACCAGAGUAGAACAGAUGGGUCUAAAUGAGAGGCAUCGUCAUGUUUGGAGAAGAAACAACGCUGCAUUCCAGCAUCAGAA